rnacentral:rRNA from 1 species
AACGAACGUUAGCGGCGCGCCUAACACAUGCAAGUCGAACGCGACAGGGGCAACUCUGUUGAGUGGCGCACGGGUGAGUAACACGUAGGUAAUCUCCCCCGAGUGGUGGAUAACCUUCCGAAAGGAGGGCUAAUACAGCAUAAGACCACGGUCUCGAAAGAGGCUGAGAUCAAAGCGGAGGAUCGUAAGACUUCGCGCUUGGGGAUGAGCCUGCGGCCCAUCAGGUAGUUGGCGGAGUAACAGCCCACCAAGCCUAAGACGGGUAGCUGG